GAGAUAUAUAUGUACAUGUGAGCGUCUAUCGAUGUAGUGUGCUUGGAAAAAAGAUAUCCAGCGUAGAGUUGCUCUUUAAAAAAUCCAGCGCAGACCUCUCCCUCAUCCCCUUCUCUCUCGCCCCUUCUCCGAUUUGGCUUUCCUCUACUGACCAAGUGCUGCCUAUGGGAGCUGUUCCGGCAACGGUGGAUGGAUGUCUAUGUCUAGCUAGCUCUGCCUGUUGUCAGAAAGAUCCACUCAAUCAAUUGGACAUCCUGCUUCAAGAGUCGUGGCUUUUUGUGAAAGCUGCAAAUCAAGGUGCGUGAUGUCUGCCUGCCGCUCAGAUCUCAGUAGUACCACAAGUAGAGCGUAUUUACUUUUCACCCAAAUACGUGCUCUGUACACUCCGUUACAGAUCGAUGGGAUCCGCAGGUUAGCUUGUUCUAGCUUGCUUCAAAAUGGAAAUCGGUAGCUUGCUCGUUGCUCCUCUUUCCUCUUUACCUUUUGUUUUUUCCUCCUUAUCUUGUUCCUCACCCUGUGCUAAGCUGAGCUGAGCCGCCCCAGCUCAUCUAGGUAAGGCCGGUGGAUCUCUCAAUCUCUUCUUUUCUUUGCACGUACGUAGAUAUACUAUAUCUCUGGGCAGGUGAGAGGGCCAUUGUUUGUUCAUCUGGUUCUACGAAGAACCUGCUUCUGUAUGCUUUUUUUUUCCCCGCAGGGAUAUACAUGUAUAUUAGUACCACUUAUGAUGGCGAUUUCUCUUAUUAUCCUGUGACCAUAUACUGCAUCUCAUUCCAUACUAUGUCGCUAGCUGAUUCCCUAUUUCCUUGGCAUCUGAUUUAGCAAAGGUUUUUGUGCCAUGCCCCCUCCUAGAUCUGCUUCUUCCUCCUCCCCAAAUGCUCAUGCCACCGGGACGGAUUCCCAGCCGGUUUCGGGAACGACCACGUUAUAAGCGUAGAUCCAUGAUACAUAAUACCUCUUCUAAUCAACCGAUGCUGUAGAUAACCAUGAGGGGCGACUAAGAUGAGCACUACUACUACUACUAUAGUUUUUGAACCGCAGAAAAUAGAUGAGUACCACUAUCACAUGAAAGUUUAACCAUAACAAAUAUACUCCAUUGUUUUAAGUUUUUUUUCUCUCCGAUCUAGCUCUGACCUGUACUCUGGCUUAUUUGAUACUUCCUUCAUUCCGUAUUACUUGCUGCUGAUGUAGUACAAACCUACUAAGUAAGCAACAAGUAAUAUGGAAUGGAUCGGAGGAGUAGUUUAUUUUACCAUCUUGUAGAUUCAUGACGGCCACCCUGCUCAUGGGCGAUGCGUGAUUGUGCGCACUCGGAUGGAUCUGGCUCUUCCUUACAAGUUACAUUGCCACCAGAUAGGGAAAUAUCGAUGUGAAGCUAUUAACGAGUUUCCAUGCCUAUCUUACAAUCUUCUUAGAACUACGCCUCCUUUUGUUGGUUCCGUGGCGUAGCACAGGUGUCUUUGCUACUACUUAAAAUGAAAAACAGAUAUAAAGAAUACUGCGAAUUGAUAUAGACAUGCUGGCUAAUUUAGCCUCAUUGCUCGUGUGCUUUUUUUCAUCUACAUGUUGUAGCCGUUCUAAACCUCACCCUGAAAAAACAUUCUUUACUAACAAAAGACUUUUUGGUACACUUGAAAGGUAUCCCCCAUAAUAUUAAAGCUGCCAAAAAGAGAGAAAAAAAUAUAUUGCCACAAAUUGAUUAGCUGCCAUUUCCUUUUUUUCUAAACAAGAGUACAUUUUGAUGCAAAAAUGGACGUUAGAAAUGUUAUAAUACUGGUGAAAUAUUGGCCAGUGAACUGUAUAUAGCGAUACAGCACCAUGAUCAGUGAACUCUAAACAAUAAGGUGGUGGGCGAUUUUCUAUUGUACUGUGUAAAUAUUCGUUCUUAUUGUUUAGCACGGUUCAAAACCAUCCGUUCAGGAUCUCGAUCAUCUAGAAAAAUAGGUCGUGAUAAACAUAUAAUCUGAACACGCGCACAAUAGAUAUAUAUAACUGCAUGAUUAGAUUUUAUUUUUAGUGGUGACGCACGAAUAGCAUACUUGUACUGCCUACAUACAUACAGAAAGGGCAUGUCAGCAUGAGUUACACUUCCUGUUGCUUGGUUUGCAAAUACAUCCACUCUUUAAAUAAGUAACUCUAGAUAAAUAUAGUGGCAACUGGCAAGUUUGGUCCUCGUAAGAACAAGACGGUCCAAUGAUUACUCCCACCCUGGAUGCUCAAGAAGUGGCAGUGGAAGUGCCACUGCCUAGCUAGCCGGAAUAGCCAUACAAAGGACAUACCAGAGCUAACUAAAAGAGCCAUGUGGGAAAGUUCAAUAAUAUAGCACAAACACAAGAUAUAACAACAAACACUAACAUUUAAAGACAUGAGUUUUCACAAGUGCCAGCUUUUAACUUAAUAUAUUUGAAUCCACGGACCGUGCCUCUCUGGCCACCAAGGCGAAUAUCAGGUAGAGAACACCAUUAGAUUAGUACGCGAUAUGGAUAUAGUACUCUCAAAUUUAGGAUGUUACCAGCAGCUAUAAGCUACCAUCAGGGCACAAAUAAAAGGUAGUACUUAAUGCAGUUCAACUGAUAACGACAAAAUCACAGCUGCUCCAGCUUCCCUCUACCCUCUGAACUCUGCUCUAACAAUUCCUGCAAAGAUAAGCAACAUAAUUUGGUCAAUACACUACGGCCUCAAAGUAUUGGCAAAACAUAACAUAGUAUAGUUUUGCAUGAAGACAUAAGUUUUUGUAUUCUGUAUCUGCUCUCAAUGGUGAUAACUAUUUUCUAUCAAAACUUGUGAUGAUUCAAGCACAGAUCCAUGGAAAGAAGAAAAUAGGCGGAAAUCGGAAAAGGUACAUAUCUAAACUCAAAAUAGGAGUAAAUGCUCGCAGGCUACGCUGAAGCAAAAGUAAAAACAAUCAUCCUCCCAUUAGAAUCACUCAACAACAAUGCAGAUCUUGUAAAUUGUUAGUUGGGGGAAGAUGGUCAGGUUGUAGCAACAUUGUUAAAUAAAACACUUCAAUUCUAAUGAUUUGGAUCUGAUCUAGCAUUAUGCUGGAGAGGUGUCAGGUGAUGCUAAAUUCAGUGUUCCAGAUGCAAGAGUUGUGCAAGAACGUGUAUAAUGAAAACGUAAGUUCUAUUUCCUAGAAAAUCUUUGAUUACUAAAUGCCUGUUUCAGUAGGAAACUCUGGUGUCAUAUUCAGGAUUUUGUUAUACAAGUAUCCUUGUUAACACAAAAUUAUGCAUAAAAAGACAUGUAAUUAAGUAGAACAUAUAAUAGCUGGAAACUAUGAUAUAUAAUUAAGUAGAAUAGAUAACAGUUUUGAUACGAAAUUAUGCACAACUAAGAUAAAUAAUUUAGUAAAACAUAUAUAUAGUUUUACGGGGAAAGUAAGACACAUAACUACUCAUCUGUUGUCAUGCUUCAUGAAGAUUAAUGGUGAGUUUUUUGUUUUGUUUUUUUGUGAUGGUGAACAGUGUCAUCAUCUUUGGCUUACAUGUAUAAGCGUCAUCAUGUAUUUGGUUGGUAACUCUUGGAAGGGUUAUCAUGUUUACAUACAUGAGAAAAAUUGGGCAAAUAAAAUACCCCCAAACUCUUUUCACCUGACCAAAAUGAAGAGGAUAGAAUCUGUUUUUGCUCAUGUGGAACUAUGGUAGUGACAACGAAAAAUCCCAGAGUGGCUAGGCACGUCAGCAACUCGGCAUGUUAACAAUAUAAACACCAAUCUGAGAGGGGUCCUAGAUGGACAAGUUACUUCGGCAGUGAAACAAAACAAAAAUCCUAAGUAGACAAGGUACCUAGGCGAUGAAACAAAACAAACAAAUUAUGCUAUUCACACUAUGCCCAAUAAUCAUUUUUGUCAAGUUAUAAUUGACAUUUCUACCUCGUCUCUCACACCUGUCCGCAUUUUACUCUAUAACAUUCCAUUUAUUUCAGCCUGCAAAUUCACAAGGCUGAAACAAAUACAAUAUCAACUGUGAAGGACAUACACUAGUUUCAUGCUAAACUCAGGCAUUAUCAGCUUAAUGCUUCCACGUUUAGGUUAACCAAUACACGCAUAAGCUAUCCCCUAUUUAGAAGCAACAGUUAAUAAUAUGUUAAAUUGGGAUGUGCUUAAACAGCUUCUAAUACAUAUUUUUACUAUUAAAUUGCAAUCGGUGGUGUCAGUAGGUAGAAAACCCGUUUGGUACAUCCAAAAUCCAAGCUUCAUGCCUCAAAAAAGCCGGAAGCUAUCACUCGCCAAAAAACCCGAAAACCAGCGUGAUAUAGCGAUCCGCACCAAAAAACUGGAAAACCAACACGAUAUAGCGAUCCCGCGUCAAAAAACCGGUUGACCACAUCGAUCGUCGCACAUAAAAAAACCGCUUUCUAAAGUUACAGGCUUUGCCACCGCCAAGUGAAACGUAUCGUUUCGCUGUUCUGUUCUGUGGAAAAGAAGAAAAAACCGUUCAUCUCGCAACUGCUCCAGAUCUGGGGCACAACAUGGCCGAUGCAGGGAUUGAUCUCGAUCCGGCUAUGGCUCAAGCUGGAGCACCAGGGCUGGAGUCAGUGCUCCUUCCGCCUUCGCGUAGAUCACCCCUCUUGUUAUCCGCUUUGUAGGAGGUACCCUCUGGUUCCUUAUUCUAAAUUGUGGUAUUUUUGUUGUAGAAUUGUCAAAAAACUUCUGAAACUUGACACAGGUUUUUCAUUUUCUUUUGGUAACUAUAUAUAUUGUUUUUGUUAGUGUUAGACCCUGAAGAAGAUUGAACUGACGAGAGGUGUUGCUUAAGAUAUUAUUUAGAUGCUAGUUCCUUAAUCUAUUAUUAGGUCGCACUAUCCGAACUACUAAAGGAGUAAAUUAUUUUAGAAAAGGUUAACAAAAAUAAAUUAGUUGGUACUUACUCUUGGUAAGGAAAAAAGAGCAGACAUGGGUACAAAUUAAUCUUAACACUCUUAAACAAACAUGAAAUAAAAACUAAUCAUUAAUAGGCGCGUACAUAUCAAUUAUUGACCCAUUGCAAGCGCACGGGCACUUAGCUAGCACCAAAAUAAUAUGCAAAUGCAAGUGACAGUAAGAGACAUCCCUAGACCUUGAUUAUUAUGUUUGUCUAAUUUGAUACAUAGGAAUAUCCACUAUAAGUAAAUUCUAUACUUUUUUACCAGGGACGUAAGAUAUACAGCAUAAUUACUCUUCCCUAGUGAUUUUCAAUGAAGCAUCAUGGUGAUUUCUUGGCUUUUCUUUUGCAAGGGUGACCAGUGUCAUUUUGGCUGACAUGCAUAAGCGUCGUCACCUAUUUUGCUGUUAACUCUUUGAAGGGAUAUAAUGUCUACAGGCUUGAGAAAAAAUGGGCAAAGAAGAUAACCCCAAAACUCUCUUCACCUGACCGAAAUGAAGAGGACAUUUUCGGUCAUGUGGAACUAUGGUAGUGAUAAAAAAAGAGCACAUGCUUGCGGGCUGUACUGAAGCACAAGUAGAAACAAUCAUCCUCACAUUAGAAUCACUCAACAGCAAUGCAGACCUCGCAUUAGAAUCACUCAACAGCAAUGCAGAGAUAUUGUGAAUUGUAAUUGUCAGGCUGUAGUAGCUUUGUUAAAUAAAAACACUUUGAUCCUAAAUUUCAACCAGGUAUGAUUUGGAUCUGCUAUAAUAUACGUUAGAGAAGUGCCAUGUGAUGUUAAAUUCACUGCUCCGAAUGCAAGAUCUCUCCAAGAAUGUGUAAUGAGAAUGUAAGUCCACUUUCCUAGAGAACCUUUGACUACUAAAUGCCUAUUUCAGAAGGAAACUCUGAUGUAUAUCAUGCAGCAUUUUAUUAUGCAAAUCUUGUAACACUCUUUUUGUAACAAUAUAAUAAAUAAAGCUAGAGAAAAGGAGCAGGAUUUAGUUAUUA